rnacentral:lncRNA from 1 species
ACGGUCGGCAGCACGGUCGCUCGUGGUCAGUACCGAGUUCAAUGUCAAUAUCAGAGGAACUGCAAUUAUUGCCGCUGCAAUAGUGCCAUCAUCGCAUUUCGCAAUCACAGUUCUUGGAUAUUUGGCGGUAUANACCAUACAUAGACUUCCGUGUGCGACGAUAUUUUGUUUGUUUUUCAACUCGAUUUCCGUCUCAACGUACCUAUACAUCCGUUUCGCAUCCACAACGAGUUCGCAAACGUUUUACAUUCGUAUUUAUAUAUUACGCGAGUUUCGGCGUUUGUCGCCAAUUCGUAGUAUACCUACGAGGUACCUUUAAACGCGUUAAUUCUCGUCAUCCGUAUCGUUCAACAUGUACGUGAACCCGUGGAUCAGGAAACACUCGACCAUCAGACAAGUGAUCGACAAGCUGCUGUCGAUCAACACCAACAAGACGAAGAAGUUCGACGCUAUGCUGAACAAAAAAAAGCACACCAGAAGUAACAGGACUACGACGACGGCGGCGGCGGCGGCGGCGGCGGUGGCGACGGACAAACGACGAAAAUGUUAGCAUCAGCCAGGCGUGAGACGAAAGUCGUGCAGCGGUUUUGAUUUUUUCGCGCACGGUCGAGUAGAGUAACGCUACAAGAAAAUAUGUCCGUCCAAAAAUGUUCCUAUAUCUAUAUAAAAAUAUAUAUAUUAUAUUAUCACCGUCCAUACAGCAAAUAUUACGAUAUUUGUAGUAUACCGUGGUAAUCACGACGUUUAUGAUAAACCUAUACGCCAGAGAGAGAGACGCUGCAGUUUCCCCCAACGCCACCGCCUAAGCAUAUAAUAUAAUAUAAUGCACCUAUGUCAAAUAUAUUAUAUACGUUUACUAUACGUUUCGUACCCACGUAUCGUAGUAUAACCCAUACUAUAAUAUUAUAGCUGUAUAAUAAUAUAAUAUAUAAUAAUCAAGACCACAAACAAAGACGUCCACCGUAUCCAAUAUUUUGAUGAACGAUAUUAUAAUAUGAUAUUAUGUACACCGNUUGUAAAUAUAUUUAAAUAUAUAUAAUGUGCCGUACAAGUCUAUGCCACGUCUCAAACAUCGAGUACGCGAGCUGUCUUUCGGGAUCGAACGGAUAUAAUNAUUUAAGCAACACAACAUUCGNAACAUAAUGUGGCCACAGUGUUGUACGAUGUACCCACGUGGCCACGUNACGUAUUCUGCAACUGGUCCACAUUACCGUCAAUUUAGUCAAAAUGGAUUUGGAUUUCACCUAAGUAGAAUAUCAUCAUAAUCACCAUCUUCAUCAUCAUCAUCAUCAUCAUAAUAUUAUUAUUAUAUUGCCGAUCACGGAGACGGAUUCGCAUUCUUGCGAGACAAUGGACGACGACGCAUCGUCUGCAGCCAAGUCAAAUUUACGUAAAAGCAGAUUAAAAUUGUAUUUGGUCAUACAGUUAAGUCAGAAAAUCAAUCGGAAUUACGAAUACUACUUGGAAAUGUAUAAAGAAACUUUUAUUUAAAUUAUUUUCGACGUAUGUGCUCGUAAUGUUAUUUUUAUUUUUACGUGUAAUUUUAUUUUAU